CCGCGGUAAUACGUAGGUUGGCAAGCGUUGUCCGGAAUUAUUGGGCGUAAAGGGCUCGCAGGCGGUUUCUUAAGUCUGAUGUGAAAGCCCCCGGCUCAACCGGGGAGGGUCAUUGGAAACUGGGGAACUUGAGUGCAGAAGAGGAGAGUGGAAUUCCACGUGUAGCGGUGAAAUGCGUAGAGAUGUGGAGGAACACCAGUGGCGAAGGCGACUCUCUGGUCUGUAACUGACGCUGAGGAGCGAAAGCGUGGGGAGCGAACAGGAUUAGAUACCCUGGUAGUCCACGCCGUAAACGAUGAGUGCUAAGUGUUAGGGGGUUUCCGCCCCUUAGUGCUGCAGCUAACGCAUUAAGCACUCCGCCUGGGGAGUACGGUCGCAAGACUGAAACUCAAAGGAAUUGACGGGGGCCCGCACAAGCGGUGGAGCAUGUGGUUUAAUUCGAAGCAACGCGAAGAACCUUACCAGGUCUUGACAUCCUCUGACAAUCCUAGAGAUAGGACGUCCCCUUCGGGGGCAGAGUGACAGGUGGUGCAUGGUUGUCGUCAGCUCGUGUCGUGAGAUGUUGGGUUAAGUCCCGCAACGAGCGCAACCCUUGAUCUUAGUUGCCAGCAUUCAGUUGGGCACUCUAAGGUGACUGCCGGUGACAAACCGGAGGAAGGUGGGGAUGACGUCAAAUCAUCAUGCCCCUUAUGACCUGGGCUACACACGUGCUACAAUGGACAGAACAAAGGGCAGCGAAACCGCGAGGUUAAGCCAAUCCCACAAAUCUGUUCUCAGUUCGGAUCGCAGUCUGCAACUCGACUGCGUGAAGCUGGAAUCGCUAGUAAUCGCGGAUCAGCAUGCCGC
rnacentral:rRNA from 1 species